AGAGCGAAAAAUCCAGAUUUACGGACACAUUUGCCUGUUGAGAGACGUGAGAGUGAGGGAAGAGGAGGAGCCAUCUUGGGGAUUCGUCUUCCUGUUCGGAGCGGUCGCGAUGAGCAUCCAAACCGCGUUCCCUCGUGUCGUGUUUCCGAGCCUCACCCCCGCCACCUCGUCACGCCGUCGUCCCCGUCGUCUGAUGGUCCGUGCAAAAGGUCCGUUCUUUUGCGGUUUCGUUAUGUUGAACGCCUUCAUGUGGAUGAGUUUUCGCCUCCUUUACUUUCUCCUUGAUUCAACCGGUAACUCUCGGGAGCUCAAGGACUACCGUGGAGCAAUUGAUAUGGUCAAUGAAGUUGAUCCGAUCUGUCCAACUUUUGGGGGUGUCGUCACGUUGUAAGAGAUGACAAAAGUUUGAUUUGGAUGAGGGAGAAUAUCACUAAGGGUAAAAAGAUAUUUAUAUCUUGUGUUCUGCUUCAAUCGGAUGACUGAGAUAUUCUCAUCUUAUUUUAGUCUAUUUCUACAAAAAGACUCAUUUGAAGAUCAAGUUAGUUUCAUUAGUCAAGAUCGAAAAAUAUCCGUAAGAAAUUUAAAAGCUCAAGCAUAGUUCAGUGAGUCUGAAUGAAGACAUAAUUGAAGAAACUGAUUCAUGUAAAAUUAAUUAUGUAAUAGUCAGGUUUUAUGAACAAAUAUUAUUUUUAGAUGUCAUAUUGAUAUGGCUCGUUAGGUGUUGAGUGGACAUUACAUGUCGAGUCUCGAUUGAUCGAGAAUAAUAAUCAUAAUAUUUGCCCUCGUUAUGCUUUGUGGUACAUGUUUUUGAAGGGGAUGUUUUGGUCACAUCGACCACAUUGGUUGAUUUUUUUUCUCUUAGGUGAAUGCAUCUCAAACAAAAAUAUACUUUGGUAAAGUCAAGUGUUUCGUAUGUUGUAUUUUGAGCGGACGCAUCAAGCGCAAAAUAAUACUCUAAUUGUGUCAAGCACUUUAAAUAUUUUGUUGUCUUGGAUGGACGCAUCAUGUGUAAAGGGAUGACUUGAGUGCAUUAGACGCCUUAAAUGUUUCGAAUGUUUUUUUGUCUUAAAUGGAUGUUUCAUGCAUAAAGGGAUGCUUUGGCCUAUUAAUGUUGAGCCCUUUUGAUUUUUUUCUAUUUUAAAAAAAUAUAUCGUAGGGAUGCUUUGGACCUAUUCGUCGAUAUUACAUGCUUUGGAUACUUUUUUUUAUCUAAAGUUCACAAGGGUACAUUUUGGUUUGAUCGAUUGCAUCAGAUACCUUUGAUGUUUCUUAAUCCUAGGUAAAAACAUUUCAUGCAUGAGGAGAGGUGGUAUUGAUAAGAGUCAUGCUUUGGCUGGGAGUAUACCUCUUGUAUAUUUGCUCUAUCAAUAUAAUCACAAGUAGAUACUUGUCAUAAUGUUAGAGGGCAUCACUUCCACAAAGGAGCAGACGAAGUAACUCUAGAUUGAGCAUAGUGUCGACCUGCCAUCUGGCUUGUUGUACGGCCUGCUUUCUAUGGACUUGAGCAAGUUGGGUGGAUCUGGUCGCGUCAAGUAGUAGUCGACUCAAAGGCAUGGCAUGAGAAAUUCGAAUGUGUGGUCUGCUUAAGGUUGAUUUGAGAUAACUUAGAAGAUUAGAUCGUCUUGAAUACUCAAUCAACUUGAAAACUAGUUAAAGAUAUGACUGACUUGAAGAUGUUAUCUUGAAAUAUAUCAUCGUUUUAAGGAUCUCAUCAACAUGAGGAUAUGACAUUCUCUAAGGAUGCGACCAACUUAAGGAUACAACUAUAUCUAAGGAUGUGACCGUCUUGAAAAUAUUUGAAAGGUGCAUCCAACUUCAUGACACUUACUUGAGGGUGUGAUCAUCUUGAUGGCGUAAUUGACUUAGAGACAUAGCUGACUUGAGGGUGCGAGUGUCUUGAGGGUGUGACCAUCUUGAUCUUGCAGCUAACAUGAGGAAGUGAUGAACCUCGAGGGUGUGUGCAUCUCUUUGACUUUGAAACAUAUUCCGGACUUGGGCAUACAUUACCCCUUGAGAUAGCUUCUUGAGAUGAUGGAAUGUGGGAAUACCACUCAAGCAUUCCCUUGUGAAUUGAUUGGAAAAGCUAAGCACAUGAGGGUGUCAUAACUAACAUACAUAGUCAUGUGCAUCCUGAAGUCACUCAUGUUCCACAUGAUCCAAGGUCGAUUGAUGAGGUGAAGAUCAAGAGAGGGGUCUCUUCAUUGAUAUGCUCUUGUGGAGUUUCAUGGGUUCAAUUUUCCUACGAUAUUUUCUCAGAAGGUCUUCUUUAUAGUGUCAAUCUGAUGUGGUUAAUUUUGAUCGUUGAUUCAACUUAAGUUGAACCUAGUUGGCCCAUUUUUAGUGUGGUUGCAUUUAGAAGGACAAAAUUUCAAUUGGAAUGAGGAAGAAUUUCACUUAAUGCAAAAAAUAUAUGUACCUAGUAUUUUGGAUCGUACUUCAAUCCCAAGACAAAAAACAAUUGUAUCACAUUUUCGUUUGUACCUAUAAAGGGUUAUGUUAGAGUACGUCAAUCAAGAUCCCUCUAAUUGUCAAGUCAAUUUUGAUAUGUCAGUCAUAGAUUAAAAAAAUGAUCAUAGGUAGUCUAAGAGGUUAAGUCCAAUUCAACGAGAUUUGAUGUAGCAUAUUUAAGGUGUUACUUGUUAUCUCCAAAAGUUAUCAUGGCAUGUUCAUUAAGGCAUUGAUUAGACUCCACAUGUCAAGUCUUGAUUAACAAAAAAAUAAUGAUAAUAUCGGGAAGAAUCGAUUGUUUCUAUUUGAAUCUUUGGUGUGUUCACAAUUUAAUGACAAUGUUCAAAAGCCAUAAACUAUCUUUCUUCAGGAAGGAACAAGUACAAGUUUGAUGAAAUGUGCCUAAUGAUACUUUCACAAUCUAUCAUUUUGAUAAGAGGGAUUUUGGCAUAAUUUGGAACAAGAAAAAAAAUGCCAGCAGCAAAGCUUGUGGGUUGGACUUUGGAUUGGUGUGAUUCCGCAGGAUGAAUGUUUGUCAUAAAAGGAAUCAUUCUGGUGUCACUAAUAUACAUCACGAAAGUACCUAAGUAUCAAAUGUUGAUUAGAGCAUUGUUGUAUGAGUAAUAUGUCUUAAAUUCGAACGUGAGUGUCAUGUACGUCAUUUUAUGUAAUAGAAACUUUUUUAUUUUUUUUUAAGUACCUAAGUACCAAGUGCAAAGUAGACGCAGCAUCUGUGAGAAUUCUCAUCAAAUAAUAUUAUAAUUGUCUUUACAAUCAGCCUCUUAAAUGUUAUAUUUAGUCAAUACAUCUUGUCAUAUAAAAUAACAUUUAAAAUUUUUCAGUAGAGCCAUCUGAUAACUCUGUUGAAGUCAUGAGGAAGUUCUCGGAGCCAUGGUUUGCAAUAUCGUACCGUACCACUCGAUAUGGGGCAAUACAUACCGGUCCGAUAGAAGACCAUUACGAGCGGUAUAUCGAUUCAUCUUAGUACAUCGUGUGUUGGUACGCUCAAUACAGUUCAGUACAACUAGGUACAUACCAUACCGACAGCUGAUCAGUAUGCCGGUACGGUAUGGUAUUCAGGAACACACUUUUGUGUCGACAAAGGAGUUGUAAUCAAGGUAAAUUUAAGCUGUUAAACAUUUUUAUCAAAAUGGUUAAAAUAGGGCCCUAUUUGAUAAGAAUUAAAGCUGCUCUUAUUAAUUCAACUAUGUGAGAACCAUCUUUCACAUUGGAAGCAAGAAAGUAUUCUUUGACUUCUGCAUAACUUUAUUCUUGAGGAAAAUUUACUCUUCAGGAUUUAUUUUCUUCAGCUACUCAUAGAUACAACAAUAUAUGAGUUUAAUGAUUUCUUGUCUUUGCCUCUUGCAAUUCAAUGAUGGACAUACAUAUAUGGGGAGUUGAGUUGGAUGAUGAAGUGCAUAAAAGCUGCACCAUCAUUCACUCUGGUGGAAAAUAGACUACUGCCCACAAUACUGUCUCAUUCUCUUUUAACUGAUCUAAAUUUUCUUGAAUUGAACUAAUGUAGCAAACACACAUUGAUUUUUCACUUUUCCUUUAUUUUCUCUUUGGCCUCUAUUACUUGGAUUUUGUCAACUGUUUAAGAACUUUGGAACAAAGAAAAAAAAUACAAUCAUUUUGUUGACCUAAGAAGAUUGGUUGUCUUCCUUGGGGGCUUUGUUGAUCAUAGAGACUCAGUGGGAGCACCUUUUAUGCCCUUGCAGGCACUAUGAUGACAAAGCUGCUGAAGUAGCACAAGGAUUCUGGAAGAAACCAGGAUAGAAGUAGAUCAUUAAGUUAACAGUAUGAGUAUUGUGGAAGGUGGUUAAAAAGUGCUUGUGCAAAGUCCCAAGGGUUCAAUUUCUGGGGUCAGUAAAUCUUCAUUACCUGGAAUUAAGUGGUCUUUAUCUCAGUACUAAUCUGCAGCAGGUGCUAGUUUGAAGAUUGAAAGAGAGUCCAGGAAAAAAGAAAACUUGAUUAAUUUGCCAAAGAACACAGGGCAACCAUAGUGUCGAUAUGUCAGGGUGCUGUCUGCCUGGCACUCGGUUUGAAAAUUGUUGAUGAAGAAGCACUUGAUUGGGGUUCCAUUGAGAUAAAGAUUAUGUUCAUUUUCCAAAGCACAGCUUCAGUUUGUGAAUUUCCUCUAGCAACUAGAUCUGUACAAUUAUAGUACCCUGCAAGUUUGAAGCAGGGCAAGAUCUGACUGCAAGAAACAAGUUGUGAUAAGUUGAAUGGACUUCCAUUGUUUUCCAAAUAGUUCCCUGAGGAGCCACAGUCACUAUUGGUGUUUCUGAAGCUCCAGCAAUACUAAAUAAUACAGCUAGGCUCAUUAAACUAGUGGGCUUCUGAUGUGCCAUGGACAAGACCAUGUGCAAGCUGAUUAGCUUUGCCGGAUGGGGAAGUAUUAGGACACAGACAAAUUGGGAUAAUGCUGAUCCACUAGAGAUGAUAACAAUUUCUAUUUGAUUCCAACCUUUGGGGUUAAUAUGACUUGUAAUCUGCUGCAGCAUGGAUCAAUUCCUCACCAUCUAAAGCAGAGGAUCUGCAAUCUACUUCCUGUGUAGAAUAUCCAUUGGAGAUCACUUUGGUCUACAAAUUCACCUGGUAAAAGCAUCACCUGAAAAAGAUUUGCACACAACUAGUUUUAGUCCAAUUGUUGAUGACAACUCACAUCUUACUUCUUGUAAUUUAUGUGUUAUUGUUCAUAAAUAUAUUGGGCUCCACAAAAGAACAUCCUUAUGAAGAUAUUUAAGUAGGUCAUGGAUUCAAAACA